rnacentral:lncRNA from 1 species
CUGGAUAUCCAAACUUCCUGCAUAGCCAACAUGAUUUGGUGUUUGUUGAUCUAUCCCACAACAAAUUCGUUGGAGAACCUUUCCCAUCUUGGCUGUUUGAGAAUAAUACAAAGUUAAAUCGACUAUAUUUGAGAGACACCUCAUUUAUAGGUGGUCCUUUGCAGCUGCCACAACAUCCAAAACCCAACCUUCACACAGUAGAUAUUUCUGGCAACAACAUACAUGGUCAAGUUCCAAGAAACAUAUGUUCGAUUUUUCCACGUUUGAAGAACUUCAUGAUGGCCAACAACAACCUCACUGGUUGUAUUCCUCUUUGUUUUGGGAAUAUGAGCUCUCUCGAAUACUUGGAUCUUUCCAACAAUCACAUGUCUUGUGAACUACUUGAGCAUAAUUUUCCAACAAUCACAUGGUUUUUGAAGCUGUCCAACAACAGCUUCAAUGGGCGAUUACCACCAUCUGUGUUCAACAUGACUGGCCUAUACUACCUCCUUCUAGAUGGAAACAAAUUUGUAGGAGAAGUACCAGGUACUUUUUCUCUUGAAUCAUCACUUUUGUGGUUGGAUAUCAGUAACAAUCUUUUGUCAGGCAUGCUUCCAAGGGGAAUAUUCUUAGAGGGAAUUGAUUUGUCCAGAAAUCAUUUUGAAGGUACCAUUCCAAUAGAAUAUUUCAAUUCUUCCAGGCUUGAAUUUUUAGAUCUUUCUGAAAACAAUCUGUCUGGGUCAUUACCGUUGGGCUUCCGUGCACCAUAUUUACUCUAUGUCCACCUAUACGGAAAUAGAUUGAGCGGUCCACUGCCAUAUGAUUUUUAUAAUCUCUCUUCGUUGGUGACGUUAGAUCUCGGCGAUAACAACUUAACUGGGCCCAUUCCAAAUUGGAUUGAUAGCCUUUCGGAAUUGAGCAUUUUUGUUCUCAAAUCUAAUCAAUUCAAUGGGAAACUUCCUCAUCAGUUAUGCUUGUUAAGGAAAUUAAGCAUAUUGGAUCUUUCAGAAAAUAAUUUUUCUGGUCUGUUACCCUCAUGUUUGAGCAAUUUAAAUUUUACGGCAUCAGACGAAAAAACUUCAGUUGAACAUGUUACGACGUCAGACACAGAUUAUGGAGACCUGAAAGAAUUAUUUGCAUCCAUUGGUUUUUAUCUUUAUGACAAAACUAUGUUGCCAGAGAUCAAUACAAAAAUAGCUGUGGAGCUUACAGAAAAGAAAAAUUUCUACACUUACGAAGGCGAUAUCCUUCGUUACAUGUUUGUUGUGGAUCUUUCUUGUAACAGAUUCACCGGAGAAAUCCCGACAGAAUGGGGAAACUUAAGUGGGAUAUAUUCUCUAAAUCUGUCACAUAAUAAUCUCACUGGAUUGAUCCCUUCAUCCUUCUUCAAUCUAAAGCAGAUAGAGAGCUUGGAUCUUUCUCACAACAAUUUGAAUGGAAGAAUUCCUGCACAACUCGUUGAACUGACCUUUCUAGCUAUUUUCAACGUGUCGUACAAUAAUUUGUCAGGAAGAACACCGGAGAUGAAAAAUCAAUUUGGUACCUUUGAUGAGAGCAGUUAUAAAGGGAAUCCUCUUCUUUGUGGACCUCCAUUGCAAAAUAGUUGCGACAAAACAGAAUCACCAUCAGCAAGAGUGCCUAACGAUUUCAAUGGAGAUGGUGGCUUCAUAGACAUGUACAGUUUCUAUGUCAGCUUUGGUGUGUGUUACAUAAUUGCGGUGUUGACAAUUGCAGCAGUACUGUGCAUAAAUUCGCAUUGGCGACGCAGGUGGUUUUACUUCAUUGAAGAAUGCAUUGACACUUGCUACUGCUUUUUGGCUAUAAACUUUCGCAAGUUGUCCAGAUUCAGAAGGUGAUUGGGUCUUAUCAUGAGCAUGCGGGCUGCUUUCUGAAAUUGUUGCAAUCCUCCAUGGGGAAGCAGUCGCAUUCCAAAUCAAGGGUUGCUCACAACAUGUUUAGCAAUUUGCCUGUGAGAAGUGUUCUGUCGAAGUGUCUGGUUCUUGUUGCUUAGCCUUUCUGUUUUGACAUGACUUGUGUUUGUCCUUGUGCUUGUAUCCAUAUUUGUUUGUUUCUUUGUUAUGUCUUAAUUAUGUGGCGUUUUGGUCUUAGAUUUGGAGAAUGAGCAACCAACCAGUAUUUCUUGGCUUCUUGUGAUUACUAUAUCCCUAAUAAUAUGGAAUUUAUUCACUAGAAAUAGUUUACAAUAUCGUAUUUUCUCAAUUAAAAAAAUAAUAAUAGAACCAAAAGAUCAUAACAGCAAGGUGAUAUGUGGUUCUAUAAUAAUUUUGUUUGCUGAAAAAACACAAGUCUAAACUUAAAACAAGGCAAUGGCAUAAUCUGUCUUCCUUGCAAUAAUGUGCUUGAUUGCUCGUAUUUAGACCUCCUCUCCUGUCCUGUUUGCCUCAUCCAUGUAAAAAGCAAAUAAACAAACAUAAAGUUCGAUACUUUUAAUUGAAUUGAAUUGCCAAUAAGUUCUUUGUCCAUUUGAACAGAGGAUUUAACUUUCAUGUAUACCCUUUUUAAGAAUAUAGUUAGCUUAAUUUGUCAUAAUGAAAAUGAUCUUAACUUGAAGCUUCGGUAGCUAAACUCUAAGCAGUUCCGGCUUCCUUAAUUUCUCUCUCCAGAGGUAUCUUUUUCUAGUAGAACUCCAACCUUCUGACCUCCAAGAUGGACUCAAUUUGGAAGAAUUUGUGUUAGCCCUACACAUAUUUUGUAUGUUAGCUAUCUUACAGUAUGUUAGCUUUGUAUAGUUGCAGUGGAGAUUAUAGUAUCUUACAGUAUGUUAGCUUUGAUGAGUUGCAGUUGACAGGAUUUACUGGUAUCAAUAGUAAGUUACAUUCUUUUAUACGGUUUCUUUAUCAAGAAAAUUGAGGACUUUAUAUCUAUUUAACGAUCAAUAUAAUGAUAGCACUUCAUCAUGUUUGACUGAGCUUUCAUCCCUGAAGAUUUAUAUCUAUGGAGCUUUCAACUUAUCCAUAAAUUGUUUUUUUUUUAUAUAUAUAAUUUAACGUGGGUGUCCGGGCCAACUUGCGCGCACCUCGACUAAAGUGAUUAAAGUGAGCUGGACCAAAAUUAGAAUGAUUAAAAAUUACGAGUGACGAUGUAUAGAACGGAUACUUGCAAUCUAUCUUCUUCCUUAAUCUAUGCACUGUAUAUUUUUUUGAUGUAAAAUUUGAGAAUUAUAUAUAUAUAUAUAUAUAUAUAUAUGUUAUAGGUUUUCAACUCCAACCGAUGAGGCUGGGAAAGUUAGAGAACCUUAACCUGAGUGCCAAUCAAUUGAACAGUAGCAUCUUAUCAAUUCUGAGUGUGCUUUCAUUGGAUCUAUCAUUAAAUAAGUUGACAGGAUCAGGUAUAAUACACAGUUUCUAUCUAAUUGCUUCACUUGACAUUCUCUUAAUUAUAUUGUUUCUUUAUCAAGAAAAAUGAGGACUUUAUAUCUAUGUAAUGAUAAAUUUAAUGAUAGCAUUUUAUCUUGUUAGACUUAAAGACUUCAUAUCCAUAAAUUGUUUUUUUUUCAAUAAGAUCAAAAUUAGAAUGAUUAAAAAUUGUUUGUUAAUCUUUGAAGGUUACACAACCUAUUUUAUAAUUAACUAUGCGUUCAUGUAUCAUUCUUUUUAUGUAUAAUUUGAGAACCAUAUAUCAAUUGAACAACAGCAUUUGAUCAAUUCAAAUUAUCUUGCUUUGAUGUGUUUCUCUUCCAGGCUUCGAAGUCGUAUCAUCAAAACUGAGGAAACUGGAGGUACUUGACCUAACUUCUAACCGAUUUAAUAAUGAUAAAAACAUUUUAUCAUGUUUCAAUGGGUUUUCCUCUCUCAAGUCUUUGGAUCUAUCAGACAAUGGGGUGACAGGAAACAAUAGUAAGUUACAUUCUCUUGAGAAAAUUGAGGACUUUAUAUCCAUUUAGUAAUCAACGAUAGCAUUUCAUCAUGUUUGACAGCGCUUUCAUCUCUAAAGAUUAAUAAAAAUUAGGAUGAUUAAAAAUUACUUCUUGACAAUUAUUGUAAGAAACCGUGGAAGAAUAUAAUGGUAGGAGGAUUACGUAAGAGUCAGAGUCUCUCAAUUCUCUGUUUUCCUUCUUCUCCUCCCCUGCUUCUCACCCUUCUGCUUCAUUUUGUUAAGCCAAGCUUAACAUAUGAUUAUAUUACAAUACACAAAAUGGAUACUUCCAAUCUAUCCUUCUUGACAAAAACGCAAUCUUAAGGAAUAAAAACCAUCCCUCAAUACCCUUUCUCUCAAGGAUACUACUUUAAGUCAACGUAAAUUAGUGUUUAGUUCCUUAAAAUCUUAAUUAAUAAUAUUGAAAGGAAUGGCUACUCUGUUUCAUCGUACCUUUCCUUUUUUCUCUUUCACAAGGACUUUCUUUAAUUCGAGCACUCUUGAAAAAUUCCAUCUAGAUCUUACUUCUCUCCCAUUAAACUUUCUUCAGAACAUCAGAACAUUGCCUACUCUUAAAGUAUUGUCUGUUGGCCAAUGUGUCAAGGUAAAUUAACAACUCUCCAUCCACUCAAGAUUCUUUCAACACUAUAUAUUUUGACUAUUUCGAGAUAAAUCAUACAGGUGGGUGUGAAUUGAAGAAUUUUAAGUGGUUAGAUCUCUCCGGAAAUAAUUUUGGAGGGUCACUCCCAAAUUGUUUGGGAAACUUGUCAUCUCUACAACUAUUAGAUGUAUAUAACAUCUAAAAUCAUAGCUUAAAAGAAUUGUCAUAAAUUGAUGUUGUUCUUGCUAAUUUGUUGUUUUGUGUAAGUGGAUUAAACAUAAAUAUUAAAUAUAUAUAUUUUUUAAUUUAUCUAUUAUGCCGGUAAUUUUUUUAGUUGUCAUGUACUUUAUUUUUAAUCACUAGUAAAUUCAUCACCAUCAUUUUUCAUAUGAAAUUCAUAGCAAAAUACUUAUUAAUUCAUCAAAACUCAAUUCAAUUCAUAUCCAUUAGCAUAUAUAAUUACUCAUACACAUAUUAAUUCAACAAACCCAUACAUUAUUAUAAACCCCAACAUUUUCAAUAACUAAUUAUAAAGAAAUAAAACUAAAAUUAGAUAAUGAAACACAUAGAAAAAAUGAUAGAAAACUUUCCUAAAGCAUAAAUCAUAAGAAGUUACUUGUUUAACUAAUUAAUAGAUUUGGAUUCGAAGAAAAAUUUUGUAGAAAAGAAAUAGGCAGGGGCAAUAGUGGAAAAAAAAAGAAAAGAGCUUAGAUCAAUUAAUAGGUAACAAAGACAAUUAACCAUGUAAAACUAUUAUAUUAAUAUUUUAAUAUAAAAUAAUACUUUGAAAAAAAAGAUUAAGGGGACAAUUGCCCCCGGUUGCCCCAUUGUGGCUCUGCUACUGAUGACAUGUAACUAUUCUUUAUAUUUUAUUUUGGAUUUCUCAUAAUGUGGGUUUAAUAUAUUAUAGAGCAUAAUAUUUUUUAUUUAAAAAUAUAUUAAUUUAAUAUUUUUUCUAGUAAAAUAAAUAAAUUACCAUAUUUCUAAAUAUUCACGUAACUUAUCUCUAAGUGCCCGAGGGGGAUAAGAAUAGGCAUCAACAAAACGACACAAGAAUGACUUGUUAAUAUAAUAUUUCCUUCCUUGGUUUUCAAGCUAUGCAAAUUAAUGUCACUUUCUUGGGCUGAAAGAUUGACCAAACCAAGCUAUGGACACAUCGUAUAGGAAAUAAUAUAGAACCAAUAGGUAGAGGAGCAUGUCAAGAUAUUCUUCGCCAAGCAUACUUUUCAUCUUCAAAAUAAUCAGAUAUGAUAAAUUCCAACCUCCAUAAUCCUUCAUUACACUGAAACAAUCACCUUAUUCACGAGUAAAUAAUGCAUUCAACAAAAAGCAUACUAGAAUGUUUGAUAUAGGUAUUUUUUAAAAAUACCUCCCUUUGAUUUCCUCAGUAUGUCAGGUCAUAUUUUUGGCUGCAAAUCUUGUAUCCCUAGCGAUCCCUCCUCUUCUUAAUUCCUACGUACUAUUGCUUUAGAUUGAAGGUGUAAACUGACCCCAACAGAGGAUACAAAAGCUUCAACUCUGCUUGUUAGUUUUUGAAACUCGGUCAUUUUACACUUCUUAAAACAACCAGUCGCAUUGCAAAAAUAGGAAUUAACAAUUUAGAAAAGGUAGAUAACUAACAUGUCAUGCAUUUAGAGAUAUGUCAGAUUCAAAACCAACCAGGAAGAUAUUAAAGCUAUUGCAAAUGCAAUGAGCAUUUCAAAAUAUCCUCAAAUUCAACAACCAUGAUCCAAAAUGACAUGAACAUGGUAAAGCAUCGUUUUACAGUAGUGACUGACUUAUUAUGUUUUAAUCAGAGGGUGUAAGAGUUGUGUCACAAGUAAAUUAACGAUCAAACAGCAGGAAAAUAUAGAAAAAAGAAGGUUCUAACCAAGGAUAUCAGAAAUGCCUGCAAUAAGCUAGGUGGUUCUCUACUGACAUGGUGAUUAUUCAGUACAUAUUCCCGAAACUGUUCCACCAUGACUUUGACAUUUUCCUGAAGGGAUAGUGAAACAUGUCAACAUAACGACAUCAUAGAAGAAAUACUGCUCCAUAACCUUGAGAUCAAUUAUGAAAAUAAUGAUGUUUCCUGAUACAUGACCCAGCAACUUCCAGCAAAUUCACAAGUCCAGAGUAAACAUGUUCAUAAAGUAAAACGAACCCAUCAAAGCAGUAAGCAUAUCAUUUCCCUCACUUUUAAUAGAGUGAAGAUAGAAUUUGGUUAAUUGAGUCCUGGCAAUGUAAGCCAACUAAGACCAGAGAGAGUUUUCUUCUAUUUUUUAAGUUUUCCUUUUUCCUUCUAUAUUGUUACUCAGUGACCCAUGAGAUUUCCCUCUCACAACCCAGAGAAACACUAGAGGAGAUGGAAAAAAUAGCAGAUCAUCAUUGUCAGACUGCUAAGAAACAUAAAAUAUCAAACAAAUCUUCCUAUUUCAACGGAUGACAAGGGAGAGGAUUUGUGAUGCCAUUGAGAGAACAAGAAAUUAACAAAUAAAAAUAAAAUUCAAAAGCGACAUUUGAUGGUGAUGAUAUUCCAUUUCAAAUAGGAAUUGAGUGAAAUUGAAGUUCAAUAGUGCCCAAAAAUGCAAUGCUCUCUAGGCCAAGAAAUUCAUAGUAUCUUUAUCUCAUUAAGAUCUAAAACAGUUAUUUCAAUCCAAUGCCAACAGUAGGGAUCAUUGCAAGGUUGAUGGCUUGAAUGCACAAAAAGUAGGGUAUUUACCAGAUCUUUUCUUCUUUAUUUCUAUGCUUAAUUAAAAUCAAUUCUGAAACCAGUUCAAAGUACUAAGAAUAGUAGUAGAUAGGCAGACCCAAUACACCACAUCAAAGAACCUACUGCAGCAUUCACGAACAAGUGCUAGAGAAAUUAACUUCUUCCAAGGGAUGAGAUGCAUACUGAGAGUUGCAAAAUUUCACAAAGUUUUGCUAUCUCAGGCUUCAAAAAAAGAUGGAGACUCUUCUCAGAAUCAUCAUGCAAGUUCCUUCCUCCAUCAUACCCAACCAUGUCGGCUUUCAGUACUUGUGAUAAUUUACUAGUCAAAUGUGAGAAGUUGGAAACAUGAUCGCAUCAGUUGUGUUAAGAAGGCCACUUGAACUUGGCAUGACUUGAGACAUCUUAUGCACUGGAGCUCCAGAAGUUCCUGCAGAAAAAGAGACAUUUUAUGAAGAUUAAUUAAAAAAAUCAAGGAAAUCCCACAAUGUUUGCCACCUAAUACUCUGAGAAGAGUAUACCAUCUGUGCUUACAGGAUAAGGAACAGAACCAGAACAAUUAAUCAACAGUGAAACUAGCCAGUUACCUAUUAAAGCAGCUUUCAGAGAAGGCGAAUCAGUGUUAUUGUUGGACACUUUAUUGUGCUUCUUUAACCUUUGCCUUUCGGAACAUGAAUCCACAGAAUCAGUUCUGCCGCGCUCAUAUGGAGCUGCAUCCCCAUCUUCAUUUGAAACCAUUUCCGUAGCAUCAAAAUUCAAGUCGUCAAUACUUCUUUUUUGUUUAGGAAGACAUCACUUUGCAACCACUCUUCACCUCAGUAUCAACCCCAGGUGUCCUAUUUACUAUCAGAUCUUGGCUACCUUCCAGUUUAGCUUUCUUUUGUUUCUGUUUGAACUGUUCCCUGUAAGCACGAGCAUCCAUUCUCUUAAUUCCAACCAGGACAGUUUUGAUAACAGGUUUGUCACUGUUUCCAACUUCUUCAGUUUCAAGUUGUUUCACACUCUUCUCUUUCUUGUGCUUUUCCUUCAUAAUUAAAGAGCCGGAGCUUUUACCACACUUUGUUGAACCAGAAGAACUAGAUGACGACUGAUUCUUACCAUUCUCAGGCCUUCUAGAAGGAGUCGGUAAACUUUGUUUCUCGACCAAUCUCUCAGAUUUCCUCGUAACAGGAGGAAUUGUGGGGGGGGUCUGCUUCUCAAUACGUUCAGACUUUCUACUACUUGAAGGGCUUGGAGUCAAGUUUUUCUUCAAUGAUGUUUCUCUAGCUGACUUUCUUAGACCACAAGUAUCAUUAGCAGCACCCAAACUGCUUGAUGAUCUGUUACCAAUGUUUCUCCCUUUUAUAUCAUUACUUUCCUCAUCCUUACCUUUACGACUAACCUUGGUAUCAUUUCCCAUCCUGCAAGCUGUAAACCACAAACAACAACAACAACAUGAGAUUCCAUUAAAUAAACCAGGUCAGGCUUAACAUUGAUGUUUCACAAGCAAUUGACCAAACUAAACCCAAGUAUCCCUAUAUUGGCAAACCAAUCCCCCACUCUUCCACUUACAUUCAACCCCAUAAAAAAAAUUACUAUAUUUGAAGCAAUCUACAAAAACUUAGACUGGAUAUUCUUGGAAAUUAUGAACAACAUUCUCAUAAAGAAAAAAAAAGUAUUCAUUAUUAGAAUUUCCAAGUACAAUAUUCUCAUAAAAGAAACAAAAAUUGCCAAAAAAUUAAUUCUUAGAAUUUCCAAGCAAAAAGUUCUCAAAAAGAAAGAAUAAUAGCAAAAACAAUGAAAGGCUUAGAAGACAUCAACAAUGUACAAUCAAGGCUGCAUGUUCAUUUCAAUCACUGCAAUGCCAUUCACAAUCACCGAACCACAAGAACCUAACGAAAAAAUCAACAGAAACUACACCAAAAUUACGCUAAACAAAACCCUAAGUCACUGAAAAAAUUAUUUUUUUCUUUUUCAAUUUCAGAUUAAAAACCCUAUCAGAAGGAGGGGGAGGAAAGGGGUGGAUGAGAUUGGAGUUCUAACUUACCAGAGAGAGAAUAGUUGGGAGGUCACCGGAUUUAGUCUUCCGACGGCAUUUGACUGCCGGAGUCUUUAAUUGCCGAGUAGAAAGGAGUAAAGAGUUGAUAAAACUUUACCACUGAACAGGCCCGCAGGGGAGGGGUUAAUGGUCAAUGAUUCAAUGUCAUGCUUUGUACCUGCCCAGUUGGGAGGUUACUUAUAUGUUAAUAUUUAGUCCUACUACUUUACUUGUAUUCAAUUUAGUCCAACACUACAAGGAUUGGAUUCAGACCUGGUAGCACUCAUUUUUUUUAAAACCCGACAUUACUUAAUGAGUUAACCUCUAAACUAAUCCGGAUUUUAAUUUUAAUAAACCCAGUAAAAACCUUUAAAUUUUUUAAAAAUAAAUAAUAAUAUUAUUUUUACUUUUUAUAAAAUAAAAAUAAAUUAAUUAAUCAGGUUAAUUCUAGUUAACACCACUAUGGCCAUAAACUUGUUGCGAGACAACCCCAAACCUUUGAUAUGGGAGGGCAACCCAACAAAUAAACAUUGAUAGAAAUUAGCUUAUCAACUCCCGAAAUAGUAAUAUAACAAUCCAUAAUUAAAAUCUGAUUUAGAAACUUGAUAAUCAUGGAUUGAAUUCAUGUUAUCAUAUGUGAAAAGCUUAAACUGAAAAACAAAAAAAUGAAUUUUUUUAAUUAUUUUUUCUCAAUAGUCAAAGUUUUUAUUGCUGACAAGUGUCAAUCACAAAUAAAGAAAUAAUUGGUCAUAAUUGAGGGCAUAAUAUGUGUAUUUGUUUUUUUUUUCAAGUUUUUGUGGUUGUAUUUUUUUAAAAAUAAAUUUUAAAAAAAUAUGAAUAGAUAUAAUUAGUUGGAUUUAGAUACGUGUUUGAUAAAAGUUAUAGUUUAACUAUAUAACUUUAAUAUACAUGAAAUUGAAAGAUAUUGGAGGUUGAUGAUUGAUGUGAUGUUAAUUCACUUAACCAGUGAUUCUAAAUUUGCUUCAUGUAAAUUAAUCUGAAUUAGAUUUAAAAACUAUAAUACAAAGGUUAACUUGAUAAUUAUAGAUUGAAUUAAUGUUUGCAUUUGCUUAAACUAUAUAUAAAAACAAAAAAUGAAAAUUGUAAAUAAUUUUUUCCUCAAUAGUCAAAGUUUUAGUUGUUGACUUAACUGUCAAUCACAAAUGGAGACACAAUUUGUCAUAAUCGAGGGAACAAUAUUUAACUACAAAGAUUUUUUUUUUUAAUAUAUCUUUAAUAUACAUGAAAAUGGAAGACAUUGAAGGUUGAUAAAUGAUGUUAACUCACGUACAUAUUUAAAAUCAUUAUUGUUAAAUCACUUACAUGUUUAAACAUAUGCCACAUAAAUUUUAAAUUUAAUAUUCAUAAGUAUAGUAAUUAAAAAUUAGAUAAAUAUAUACUUUGAAGAUUAGCUUGUAAGGUGAUUUUUUAAAAAUAUAUAUCUAAAAUGAAAACAACAAAAUAAAAAUAAUAUGUAUAAAAAAAAUAGAAUAUAGAUGAAAAACACUUGAAACAAAAACCCUAAAUGUUGUAAAUAUUAUCCUAAAAGAAAACAAACGAGUAAUUAUUUUAUUAUUAAUCUAUAGAAAAUGUCAUCAAUAUGUCCUUAAUUUAAAUAUAAACUAAAUAACCUUAUUAUAAUUUCUUCUUGUCCCACAUCAUUAAUGAAUAUAAAAAUACUAUGGUGUAAUUUUGGGGUAUAGCCUAACUGAUAAAGCUCUAAAUUUGCUCAUCAGAAAUCAUCAAUUCGAGUUUUAGAAACCUCAUGGUCACUAAAAACUUACAUAACCGUUAACUUCAGGACCCGUGAGAUUAGUUGAGAUACGCACAAACUAACUCGAACAACUAUAUUAAUCUAAAAAAAAAAACACUAUGUUGUACCUCUAAUAUCGUCUUGGCUUUACAACCUUAAGUUAACACGCAGAACUAUAGCGAGCAAACACACUGUAAGAUAUCAGUUAACGACUCAAUUUGAUCACAAGUCAAGUUUGUUUAUAUCUAUAGAAUCUGCAAUUUGCUUUCGAGAUCAGCUAUGACCUCAGAAGUUGGCAAAAAUCUGUGAAACCCCUCCAGCAAAUCAGGAUGGUCUGCAAACAGCUCAACCACAUCUCUGUACACAUCAGCCACGUCCUUCCACUUGUUUCUGUAUGCACAUAAAGUCAUCAAAAAGUCUUUGUAAGCCUCCUUGUUGAUGCGCUUCUGCACCUUCCUUUCAAAAUCGACAGCUUCUUCAUGAUCUAUAGUAACCUUCUCUGCGGCCAUUAAUGCGUCUUAAUUGAUGCGAUUCUGAGAAGGUUAGAAAGCCGAAUAAAAGAACAGAUUACCCUAAUUAUUAUUAUUAUAGUUGUUUUUGUAUUAACCGGAGCACAAUAUUAUAUAUAUUUGUGCCCUAUCAACUCUAAUUUAGUCGGCCUCCUAUACCCAAUAGAGUAAGCGUUAAUAUAUAUAUAUAUAUAUCUGGCCCAUACCCGUUAAGAAACCAACCACCUCUCAAGUCUCGACCCAUGGCCCCAAGCAUUUGAAUUCCUUAUGCUCAAAUGCUUUUCAAACUAGAUCUCUGGAUGUUUAUUAUAAGUUAAAACUCUAAGAUAUAAUAAUAUUAUAAAUAUAUAAAGAUUUUUAAAAUAUUUAAUUUUGUUUUUCUUUAUUUUUAUUUUUCAAAAAAUUAUUAUAAAUCUUUAUAUAGAAAAUAAACUACAAAACCCUAAUAAUAAUAAUGAGGGGAAACAAACUAUAAAAGCAUCAUAAUAAUGAAUAGAAAAAUAAAAUUAACAAAGUAAAUUAUUUAUUUUUCUAAAAAAGUUUCUACAUCAAAUGUUUGUUUUUCUUCGUUUUUUUGCAAUUAGGUUGUCAACUACAGUUAUUAGAUCCAACUCUAUCUCUACCUAAUGGUUUGACUCUUAAAAUCCAUGACUGGAGCAAAGUUUUGAUUUGAUCUAAUUUUGACAUUAUUCUCUGACCAAAAUCCAAAUAACUUUCAAAUUAAUAUGCAACUCAAUGCAUAUACUUAUAUUCAAAAUCCAAAUUAAUGGGUCUUAUCCUCUAUUUAUUGCUCCGGAAUAAAUUAUAUUGAUUUUAUACCUGCUCCACGUAUAAUAUAUAUAUAUAUAUAUAUAUAUAUAUUUUUUUUUUCAAACUUUGUUAAUUUGUAAUUGAUUUUUUUUUUCGAGGAGAGAGGACUUGAUUAAGUUGUAUAAAGGGAAUGAUAAUGGCCAAAAUCACUACUAAGUACAAACAAAAUAUUCUAUGCAGGAGAGUUACAUGUUAGUGGCCUAGUGAUAAAAGCUUGGGAUCAAGAAGUUUAUUCUUUCUGUGGUCUCAGGUUCGAAUCCUAGGUUAUUCAUAUGAUGAGCACUAGAGAUUUAUAUGAUCGUUAACUUCAGGGCCCGUAGGAUUAGUCGAGGUGCGCGUAAACUGACCCGGACACCCAUAUUAAUCUAAAAAUAUAUAUAUAUAUAUAUAUAUAUAUAUAUAUAUAUAUAUAUAUAUAUAUAUUCUAUGCAUGUGUGACAACACUUAUAUCUGCAUUUGUAUCAAGGGCAACCCCACCUCAGCUAUUCAAUCAAAGCACUGAAAUUGGAGCAAGAAGAUCCACCUUCUUCAACAGCAUUCCUGGUCGUUUCUUCUAGCUUCUUUGUUCUGCUCCUCAUUUCCUCUGCUUCUCUACAGCUUCACUUUUAACAUGAUCUCCAUGCACUGUAAGCCAUUCCUCAACUCCAACACCAACUCCAGUUUUUAAAACAUCGGUCACCAACUUUUCAUUAUGGAAUUGCUCAGCAAAACAUCAGGCACCAUCCUCAAUGAGUCACAAAUGCACCUAUUGCUUCAUGAUCAAGAAUCAAAACUUGGAGUGCUCAUCCUCUAAUAAUUAGGCCUUUGCCUUCCAUUCUUCCCUCAAAUCCUUCAGGUAAACAAUCCUUCAGAUAAAUUGAUGCCUGCUGCAAUCUCCUUAAGCUGAGAGGCAGUGAAGUUUGCCAUGCUUCCAAAGCAAAUAUAAACAACUGAAUUUGGUUUCUUUGAGUCGAGUCACUUCAACUGAAUUUGCCAUGUUGAGCAAUUGAGGCUUGUUUUCCUCUUCCUGCUUCAUCUUCAUUGUCUCUAUUGCAUAGCGAAACCAGGCCCACGUUAAUUCACACCCUCUUUAAUUGACCCAACAAGACAAUGUCCUAACCAUACAGGUUCCUCUUCUACAGAUUCAUGGAUCACUUUAUGCAAAGCAGAGGCAUGAUUUUCUGGAAAAAGAGUGUCUUGGGAACUUACAGUAGAUUUCGUUGGAACUCUUCUCUCAGGACGUAGCAUAGCUUCUUGAAUCUCUGUUUCUAAUCGGAACAGGGGAGCAACGAGAAGCUAUGAGUGGUCGCAGAAUUGUUUUAAAAAUUUAAUGAUCAAAAGGAAGAAAAUAAAAAAAAUCUGCCUUGUGUUUUAAAAAACACCUCCCUCUGUUUCCUCAACAUGUCAGGUCAUAUUUUUGGUUGCAAAUCUUGUAUCCCUGGCGAUCCCUCCUCUUUUUUAAUUACUGUGUGCUAUUGUUUUAGAUCUGAGGUGUAAACUGACCCCGACAGAGGAUACACUCUAUACCCAAUCUAUGUAGUAUGAUGAAAAUACAUGAUAUUUCUUCUUACAUGCCAAAAAAAUAUUUAUUUUCAGUACACUACUCACGUACUAUUUCUUUAGUUUUCUUCUUGGGCAUAAUCACCAAGCCUGUAUUCAUGUACAAUCUAGAACAAAAUGGAAUUACAUAGCAGGACUUUGGUUUCUUAUAUCAAUUUUCUUCAGAGUUGACAGCUAUGACAAUAAGCUACCAAAGACAAACAUGUUCUUGAAAAAUUUGGUAAACAUACUUAAAUUAUCUGUAACAUUUACAGACUCUGAUUACUGAUCGCUGAGACUUCAUUUUUUUUUUUUCUGUUUGUUGAGAAAGUCCAAGCAAGCACUAGGAUAACUUACUAGUGAAAAAUAUUAAUCUACAAUUUACACUUACUGAUAACAUGCAUGUAGAUAUCUUAUUGGUUGGGUUUUACAAUUUACACUUUCUAAUUUAUAAAACCAGGAGUAAAUAACAUAUAUCAGAGGUUUAGGUAGCUUCCUGUCCAUGUGAAAACACAAGAACGACAAGUUAAAUUUGACCACAUGUUAUCCUAUUGAAAUAUGACAUGUGUUGUUGGACACAUGCCAAGCACAUUAUCACAUGAACAAUGAAUCAGCAGAAGGAAUUUUUAGUUAGAUAUUAGUCUUAAGAUUUAAAAUUUUAAAAAAAUAAUCAUCAUUUUUUAAAUACCAUAUCAGCCCCCUAACUUGUAAAAAUGACAAAUGCUACCACUGGCUAUCCCAUGCUAUUGCUGGCUAUAUGUGAGGCCUUAAUUUGCCUAGGGCCAUAUGGUCCAGAUAAUAAUUUUCUUAAAUGAAAAAAACGUUAUCUUUAUUGUUAAUUAAGCUUGGCACCCUGUAGCAAACAUCUGAGAUAGAAACUGCAUCAAGGGUUUUUGUUUUUCCGUUCUUCAGGAUUGGUGAUUCUGGAGCAAGUAGCCAUGGCCAUGAUCGCAGUGCAGGUGGCGCUCGAGAAACUGGCUUCCUUUGUAGCAGAAGAAACACGGUUCUUGGGAGGAGUUAGAGGGGGAAUCGUUGAACUACAGGAUGAUUUGUAUAGCAUGAAAUCUUUCCUUCAGGAUGCGGAACAAAGGAGUGAGAGUGAUCAAGGACUGAGAGCCUGGGUCAAACAAGUGAGAGAUGUGGCUUAUGACGCUGAGGACAUUCUUGAAGAGUUCAUGCUCCGGUUUGCUCCAUCUCACGGGAGUGGUUUUAUCCAUUAUCUUCGAAAUUCAUAUCGUUCCAUCCGUAAAUUAAGUGCACGGCACCGGCUGGCAGUCCAGUUACAAAGCAUUAAAGCAAGGGUGAAAGCCAUUUCUGAGAGAAGAAAUGCAUUUUCUUUGAAUAGGAUAGACAUGCCAUCAACCUCCGGUGCUACCGUAGAGAAAUGGCAUGAUCCCCGGUUUGCUGCUCUUUACUUAGAUGAAGCUGAUGUCGUGGGAAUUGAGAACCCAAAACAUCUACUGGUUUCGUGGCUUGUGGAAUGCGAAGAAAAGCUCUCCAGUAUCUCUGUGGUUGGAAUGGGUGGGUUGGGAAAAACAACCCUCGUAAAGAAAGUCUAUGACAGCCACCCCAUCAGAAGAAGCUUUGAUACCCAUUCUUGGGUUACAGUUUCCAAAUCGUUUGCAUCCACGGAGCUCCUACGAGUUGCUCUGCAGGGGUUUCUGGCGACAGCAAACGAACCUGUUCCGGAUAAUUUGCAAUCAAUGACUGACUUGCAAUUAAUUGAUGCUCUAAGAAAUUAUCUAUGGAGAAGGAGGUAUGUCAUUGUUUUGGAUGAUGUAUGGACUGUAAACGCUUCGAAUCCCAGUGGGAGUGGGGCUGGAGAGUUUGCUCUCUUUCUAUUUCUCUUGGGUCCUCCCUAUGAUGUAUCCCUGUCACCCCCGCGGUGUCUUACCUGCUCACUAGGGCUUGCAGGAUGUUCAGUGGGCCGUGGGAUUAGUCGUGGUGCGCGUAAGCUGGCCCGGACACCCACGUUAUCAAAAAAAAAAAAAAAAAAAAAAAAAAAAAAAAAUAAUAAAGUAUGCAUUUCCUGAUUGUAACUGUGGUAGUAGAAUUAUCUUCACUACACGUUUAAGUAACUUGGCUGAAGCUAUAGAGAACACUAGUCAUGUUUAUGAACUCCAAGCUUUACCAGAAAAUGAAGCUUGGACCCUCUUUUGUAUGAAAGCCUUUAGAGGGGAACAUAAGGCUGCAUGCCCUCCAGAACUGGAAGACAUGUCUCGAAAUAUCUUAAAGAAGUGUGAGGGACUGCCACUUGCAAUUGUAGCAAUAGCUAAGUGUGAGGGCCUACUGUCGAAAAAGAAAAACGGAGGUUUGGAAUGGAAGAAAGUCCAAGACUGCCUAGCUACAGAAUUGAAAAGUAACAACGACCUUGGGAGUGUACGUAGAAUACUUCAACUAAGUUAUGAUAAUCUUCCUUACUACCUCAAACAGUGUUAUUGUAUUUAAGUGUUUUUCCAGAUGAUUAUUUGAUAAAAAGAAGGAAGUUGAUCCGGCUAUGGAUAGUUGAAAGGUUUGUGGAAGAGAAGCAAGGCUUUACAAUGGAGGAAGUAGCAGAGGAAUACCUUAAUGAACUCGUGAAUAGGAGUUUGAUCCAAGUGGUGGAGAAGAAUUAUUUUAAUAGGGUCAAGACAUGUCGUGUUCAUGAUCUAAUGCGAGAAAUCAUUCAAAUGAAAUCCAGGGAAGAAUCUUUUGUUAUGAUAGCAAACGGAACAAGAAUCAGCAAGAAUGAGAAAGUUCGGCGUCUAUCAAUCCAUGAGAACUCUGAGGAAGUACAAUCAGAUAUGAGAUUUCCUUAUCUGUGGUCUUUGUUGUCAUUUUCUUCACAUCAUUCUUUUGAGCACGGUUUUCGCAAUUACAAUCUGUUGAGAGUGUUGAAUUUAGAUCGAGCUCCCCUUUCCACCUUCCUACCUGAAUUGGUUGAACUGAUUCAUUUGAGAUACUUAAGUUUGAGAUGGACCAUGAUAAGUGAGCUUCCAGAGUCCAUAAGGAAGCUCAAGUACUUGGAAAUACUGGAUUUGAAAAGGAGUCCUGUAUCUUCUUUGCCUGCUGGGAUCACACAAUUGACAUGUCUUUGCCAGCUCCGUAACUAUCGAUACAUUUUCCAGUCCUCAUCGUUCUUCCCAGACACUCAUGGAAUGAGAGUUCCAUCAGGAAUAGGAAGAUUGACGAGCCUGCAGAAAUUGGGAAGGGUCGAAGUGAAUGAAGAUUAUGAGUUAGUCAGGGAGUUGGGAAAGCUAACUCAGUUGAGAAGGCUGGGCAUUUUAAAGCUAAGAGAAGAGCAGGGAAUGGAUCUCUGUUAUACUUUGGACAGGUUGAAACACCUUACUGCAUUGUAUCUUGUUUCACUAAACAACACUGAAUUCUUACAAUUUGACUCUCUUUCAUCUCCUCCAAAAUAUCUCCAACGACUAGAUCUCAAAUGUAGUCUUCCAGCUUUACCAGGAUGGAUAGCUUCACUCCAGUAUAUUUCCAAUUUUCUAAUUUGAAAUGUGAUCCUCUCAAGGUCCUCCAGAAAUUGCCUAGUUUGGUGAUGCUUGAACUCCGUCAAGCUUAUGCAGGGGAAGAACUUUGUUGUGAUCCUAGUGGAUUUUCAAAGCUGAAGAGGCUAGGUCUCCAUGAACUGGAGAGAUUGCGGCGCAUCAGAAUAGCAAAGGGAUCAAUGCCUGGGUUAGAGAGGCUAGACAUCACAGCAUGCACGGUGCUAGAAACUGUGCCGGAUGGGAUUGAAAACCUGAAAAAUAUAGGAGACCUGGUUCUGUGGUAUAUGCCUUCAACGUUCAUCAAGACAAUAGAGAGCUACCGUGGUGAAGAUUUCUGGAGAGUUCAACAUAUCAGAACAAUCACCCGUAUCUACGAGAGCCAGGGGAGACGGGUCUCUGAAACUCUUCUGUAAUUAGAGGGGUUAACUACGGAGAGAAUACAGUUUCCGGAAAAUUAUAAUCUCUGUCAAGUUCCUCAGGUAAUGCUGAGCCUCAGAAAACAGAAAACUGCUGCUCUUCCCUCCUCUUCUCUGCUCCUUUGUCUCUGUUUUGCUGUUGUUGAAUCUUCCAACCUGCUAUCUUGCCCAUGUUUUAUAAAUUCAUUUUGAUGGGAUAGAGAUUGAUGCAGUGGAAUCUUGACUUCACAGGUCUACGAAGAAGAAAAACAAGUGCUACUGGAUGAUGAGAUUAAAAGACUUGUCAGAAAAUCAAAUCAAUCUUGACUUCACAGUUGUAGUAUUAUUAGUUUUUAAAAUUUUUAACCGUGUCAUCUAAUUGAAUGAUUAUACAGAGGUCCGAUGGCAUGAUGUUGGACAGAUUACGAAAACUAACCACUAGAAAACCGCAGCAUAAUAGUUGCGAUUCUUCAAUGAAGUAAAACCACCUGCGUCGCCAGUAAGGAUUUAUGUGCAUAAUAGUUGCGAUUGACAACAUCAUAAUUUUUUUUUGGUUAAUAGUAAAAAUUUUAUUAAAAAAAAACUACAAAGAUAAUAGCCUAACUUCCAUCAAAUAAACAAGCAGUGGAAAGAAAAACACAAUACUGUUACAUAAAACAAGAGAGAGCAACAAAAAAGGGAACAAACAAAUCAUAAGAAACCAACUCCUCCCGACUAAACAUUCUUUAUAUUAAGCUUUAAAGAGUUGGAAUCAAGCCUCAGCCAUAAAGCAAUACUUUGGAGCACCAUGGAGAAACAUAUUUGAAGGUUAGGGGCAACGUCAUUAAAAAUAACAUCAUUUUGGUGAAGCUAAAAAUUCCAAACAACACAUGAGAAAAGAAGUUGUCAUGAGAGAUUUUGCUGCUUGCCUUUAACCAUAGAAAACUAUUGGUAGCACAUAUCAUCAACAGAUUUUGGAAAAACACUGUAAAAGCCCCGAUUAGAAAGCAGUUUCAUCCAUAUAUUUCAAGUGAAGUGGCAGUGAAUGAAGAGGUGACUUGAAGAUUCCAAGCUUUUAUUGCAUAAAGCGCAUUCUGACUCCUGAAAGGUGAGGUAGUCAUGCUGAAAUAGAAAAUCUCUUGUGGUUACUUUGUCUUCGACAAGGAGCCAAAGGAAAAGUUGCACUUUUGGUGGGUUUAGUUUUAUCCAAACAGAAGAUUGGAAUGGUUCGGUACCAUCAUAGAGCAGCUGGUCCAUCAUUUUGGAGCAAGAUUUUACAUUAAAAAGGCCAUCGUUGUUGAGGAUCUAGAUUUUCUUAUCCAUCUUGUAACAGAAUAUUGGCUUAGAUUCCAGCAAGGAUGAUAAAAGUCAUGGAAAUGGACAAAGUGUGUUAUAAAUAGGACCUCUAUAGUUGCCUAAACUCACAUAACGAACAACAAUAUUCUACAAACUGUAGUGCUUCAUAGAAUUAUCUAAGAUUUCUGCUCUCUCUUCAUAUUUCUAUCUUCCACCAAAUCUGGGUUUGCUCAGAGUCUGUUCCACAAUGUUAGAUUUAUUUCUGAACUCUCAAGAUUUUCUUGUUUAAUUUUGUGUUUCCUCUUAAUUUAAUAAAAAUGCACAUGGUUUUAUUACUGUUGUAACCCAAUUUUGGAUUCACCAAGUUUUUCUCGAAUGUUAUUUUAUUUCUAUUAUUAUUUAUAAAAAUCCAAAAAAAUAUAAAAAAAAGUUUAAAAUGCAAAAAAAUAUUUUUUCUCGAGUCAACCGCGUCUUUCCAUCAAAACCAAGUUCACUGGGUCAAUACGGGUCAAACCAUGUUGACUAGGGUAAAAAAUGAGUUUUUGGGCUGUUUCGGGUCAAAACCAUCAUUUUCGACCAAAACCGAGUUCACUGGAUCAAUACGGGUCAAACCAUGUCGAUCAGGGUAAAAAAUAAGUUUUUGGGUUGUUUCAGGUCAAAACCGUCAUUUUCGACCAAAACCGAGUUCACCAGGUCAAUAUGGGUCAAAACCGUCAUUUUCGACCAAAACUGAGUCCACUAGGUCAAUACAGGUCUAACCAUGUCGACCGGGAUGAAAAAUGAGUUUCAGGCUGUUUUAGGUCAAAAUCUAUUAUUUUAUGUCAAAACCCGGUCCACUGGGUCGAUACCCAUUGAAAGUGUUUUUUUUUUUUUUAUGUUUUGACAUAAUUUUUAGUAAUUAAAAUUGAUUUUUAGCGGUUGAGUCAGGCUUUUUUCUAAUACUGAUUUGAGUUUUUAAUUUUACCUAUAUAAUUAUUUAUUAUUACAUAUAAUAAAACAAAAUUAAUAAUAUAAAAUUUGUAAUAUUAGGUGGUGCAUUUCAACGAUUGUAGGCAGCGUAUUUUUUCUGACAACUAUUGUAAGAAGCCUAAUUUUGCCGAUACCAUGGUAGGCGUUGUUGGCGAUUUGUCCCCUGUCACUGGCUAUGGCUAUAAAUAGCCAGCGAUAAUUCGACACAGGGGAAGGGAGGCAGAAAAGAAGUGAAAGAAUUGAUUUAUAUUUGCCACUAUUCAUUUUUUCUUGUUUUUCUUCGGGAGAGUAAGAUAUAUUUUUUUAAAAAAAACAAUUUGAAAAAUACCAAACAUAUCCCAACAAAUCUCAGCAGUUGAAAUAAUCUGAGAUUGGAUCCCGUUGCGCCACGUCACCCGAUGUACCGAGCUUUCGGUGCACCGCGCUACACCGAAUCAAAACCCAGACAAUCCGGGCCGUCCAAUCAACCUGCAGAUCAAGCCAAUCACAGCCAUCCAAUCAUUUCAUCCGAGAUCCAACGUCAUAUAGAGUUCAGCGGUACAGGUGUAUCGUGCAUGCGUUCACACCAUAGCGUGACUCAGAGCUUCUCUCUCUUCUUCCUGGCGACUCCCUCUCCCUCAUCCGAUCUCCACUUUCCGCCCAUCUCAAGCCUCCGCACCACCACAGAACGGUUGAUCCACUGGUUUAAAGCAAAACCCCGGCGAUUUUAACCGUUUUUGCCGCCUCAUCUGGCCGGAAAAAGGCCAUGAUCCUCGCAGGCCACCGAAGCUUCAAGUCGACGAUUCUCCCUCGUCAGCUAUCAACGAUCAUCGAGACCACCACCAUCAGAAUCCUCUCCAUGAGAUCUACCAAAAUCAACCAUUGAUUGGUCGUAAAGCUCGCCAGAAAGUUUCACCGCCACCAACAGUAACCGCGCGUGAGCCACACGCGCCGCCAGUGGCAUUUUUGUGAUUUUCCAAGAAAUCCGAGGGUAUUUCAGUCUGUUACCUAUACAGGGGCAUUCAGGUAAAUGUUUUGAGAUUCCUAACAUUUUUUUAUAUAAAUAUUUGUAAAUUUGCUUGCAUGUUGUAAAACAAGAAAAACAAAAAAAACAAAAACAAGUAUAAAAAGAAUAACGACACGGGUCCAACACCCAUCCUAUCAUGUUAUCGUUCGUGGGUUCCAAGCCCAAUUCUCGAAUAUGAUUAUACCCAUUUCUCAACGAUAUCAAAAUAUUUUUAUUUUAUAAACGAAUAUUGUUCGUCAACACGUCUCUUUUUUUACAGAAAAGGACCGAUGUCAAAAAGUUAAAAUACCAAAUAUGGAUUAUGUCCAUAGUUUUUUGGUAACUCAGACGUAUUUCUCAUUUUUAGGGUUAAACGUCAAUAUUUUAGACAAGUUUCCUAUUUUUUAGGAACUGAUGUCAUUUUUUUAACGUGUCUCCUACGAACGUUGUUUGUCGACACGUCUCUUUUUACAGAAAAAGACCGAUGUCAAGGAUAUUUAUACUAAAUAUGGAUUAUGUCCAUUUUUUUUUCUUUUGGUAACUCAAACGUAAAUCUUCUUUUUAGGGUUAAACGUCAAUAUUUUAGACAAGUUUCCUAUUUUUUAGGAACUGAUGUCAUUUUUUUAACGUGUCUCCUAAUUUUAGGGACCGACGUUAACUAUUUUAUUAAAAAAAACAAAAUUGCAAAUAAGCUCAAAAUAUAAUAACAUUUGAAUCAAAUAUAAAAACACACAAGUAAGGGUAACCUUUUUUUUGAAAGGAUGUUUUAAGGGUGAUGUCUACCUUCCCUUAAUCAUAACUAACCUAGUAUCUGAAUCUUUGAGACCAGUGUCUAAUUUAGGAUUUUUAAUUCCCUCAAAUUACUAGAUGGUGACUCUAAUAAAAUCUUUAUUUCCCCCAAUAAAAAAUUCUUUUGUUAAAAAAAUAACAAAAAGAGUGGAACCAUCGCCCGACGUCGUGUAUCGACAAUUACUAUAAUGAUGAGAAUCAAUAGAGUCUUGCAUUUGAAAUUAGACCCUACAAUCUAACCUCUUAAUUAGCUGUUGAGAUUGUUACAUAACAAAAUAGAACAAUCCCCUGUUUCAUGAUGUUCUUGGAUCCUUUCUCCUCUAAAUUAUCCAUUUAUCAUGCUUUUAUUCAAGUUGAAUUUGAAGUCUUGGAUUGUUAGGGUGGCAUCGUUUUCCAACAUGCCUUAAUUUCUUCCGCAAGGAAAUCAUUAGGAAAGUACUGGUUGGUGCUAUGCAACCGCAUCAGUUCCACCAUCGUCGCUAUACAAUUCAGGCGUACACGUUUCAACUUUUGACUAUUUUAUAAAUUCAUUGUUUACACUCAAUGGAGCUUAUUAAUGGCAAUUAAUGGUGAGUUCAUUAACAUUUUUAAUUUUGAUUUGAUGAUGAAGUGCCCUAAUAGUCAAUGUCAAGGUCUCAAAAUAGAUAAAUGUAAUUUUUAUAUAUAAUGUAUUUAGUUCUUAUUUUAGCUAUAAUUGAGCAAAGAAAAUUCAUUGAUACAAAUAAAUUUCAUUGCCUAAUUAAGUUUGAUGUGGUAUGUUUGGCUGAUGAGUUGAUUGGCUAGAUUAAUAAUAAUAAUAAAAAAAAAAAUCCAAAAAACAAGUUUAAAAAAUGCACCAAAAAAUGGAACACCGCAAGUUAAGUAUCGGCGUCCACGACAUUUUACGCUUUAAUUCUAACAUGUAAGAUAUGAAGCAACGCCAUGCUUGAAAAGAAAUCUGAAAAAAGCCCCCGGACAUAUAAGAUAUGAAACUUGUCAAAAACAAUCAUAAUUUUAGAUUUAACCAUUGAAUUGUGCUCUAAUUUUAUUAGAUGAUUCUGUUUUCUGUUUUUUUUUUUAAAAGUAUCCUGUUUGUAAGCAAUGAUAUAUAUAAUGGAAGGAUUACUCCAAAAAAGUGACAUGAUGAAGCGUGUGUACCAUGAUUUAUGCGUACGUGUUGUUUGGUACGUAUGUUUUCUGCUUCUUCUUUUUUUAGUUUUAUUCUUCUUCUUUUUUUUGUGUUUUUUUCUUUAAUUAGAUUAGCAUUGGUUUAUUUAAUAAUCUAAUAGACUCAAGUGUUGUUUUUUUUUAAUUAUUUAUUUAUUUAAUGUUAUUGUUUUUUUAUAUAUUAUUUAAAUUAUUCCUUGAACGAAUGACUUGAAACUUGAAUUUUUAUUAACCUGUCAUUUUUUUAAAUAAAAAAAUUAAAUUGUUCAGCCUGGCAAAGCACGGAGAGCAUAUCUAUGAAACCAUUAUCUUCUUGUUCAUUAUUAGGCACCUGCUGCAAUUGCGAGUCUGUUUCACUGCAACUUCGCAACGGAGGUCUACAACGAAAAACAAGUGAAAGGGUUGUGUGUGACAGCUGGGUCCUAUAAGCUAGAAGGUUGGGAUAAAGAGCAUUUUAAUUGCUGUAACUGGGAUUAUAGGGUUGUGUGUGACAACACCACAAACCGAGUGAUCCAACUACAUCUUUCAGAUGUAAAUUAUGAUUAUCUCAAUGCAUUCCAAGACUUGGAUCUCAAUGCCUCUUUCGUCCAAUCAUCUCUUCAAAAUUAUAUUUUGAUCUUUAAACUUUAAUCUUUUUAAUUUAAAGUUUAAAUUGACUUUAAAAUUAAUUUUUUUAACAAUCAUACCCUUUAUAAAUUCAAUUAAACUUUCAAUAAAAUUUAAUUAAAUCCAUAAACAUUUGAUUUUGAAUUUUAUUUUUUAAAAUUAAAUUUUCUUUGUCAGCAGAGUUUUCAUCAGUAAAAAAAUAUACUGUCAAAUUUUAAUUUUUAUAUUUUUAAACCUCCUCAACUAAUUUUUAGCUAUUUUUUGAACACUUUGAUAUCCGCUUCUCACUGCUAUUAUUUUUUGUUUUCUUUCAAAUAUAUUUUUUUGUGAGAAAACCCAAAAAUAGAUAACAAGAAACUGAAUAAAAGAACAAACCCUAAUUAUUAUUAUAAUUAUUUUUUGUAUUAAUUGGAGCACAUUAUAUAUAUAUAUAUAAGAAAUUGUGAUUUUUUUAUCAAAUUUCUGAAUUUCUCCAAAAAUUUUAAAAUUUUAACCCAAGCUAAAACAUUAUAUUAGAAGGCUUCACGUAAAUUUUUAGAAUUUUUUGAUACCUCAAUUAAGAAUUACAAAUUUUCUUUAUAUAAAACUAAUAAAAAAAAUAUUAAUAAAAUCUUGAACUGAACUAGAACCUACCCUAGCUGAUACAUGCCUCCACCCUUGGGUGCAGUAAGAAGAAAUUAUUGAUAAUAGAAAUCAUUUUCUAAUCUCUUCUGCCAUGUAUUUCAUAAGAUCAAAUCAAUUGUUCAUAUACAGCACCUGACUUCCCAAAGUCUAUGAAGAAAAGUAAAGCAAUAAACAAGAAGUUGGAAUAUCCUUUAAUCCAACACCACAAACCGAGCGAUCUGUGCCGUGGUGCGGGCCCCCUGGCUAGCACUGUCCGUGAAGAUUCUCCCAUUCAAUGAAGCCCAAGUCUCCCUUGGAUAAUUAAUUCAGCAUAGAAAAUUCAAUGAUACAGAUAAUUGGGAAUCUUGACCGACUUCACAAGUCUGCCAAGAAAAAAAAAAAAAAUUGAAAGUGGAUGAUGAAGGUACUGGGAAAUCACUUCAUUCCAUGAAAAAAGUUAAGGAAGAAAUUUUUUGAUUCCACAUUAUUUCCAUGUCUAUAAGAGAAAGCAAAGUAGUUUACGCAAUAAAUUGGCGGAAUUGAUAUUAACAUAUCAAAAUAAUUUGACAACACUAAAAAUAUAUUAAUUUGGAGUUAAUAAAAAAUUAAAAAAAAAAAAUUUAUUUAAAAAUACUUUUAAAACACAAAAAUAAACAUCCAUGAAAACUUAAAUUAAAUGUUCAAACAAAUGACUUCCCAAGUCUAAGAAGAAAAAAGAAAGAAAGAAGCAAAGUAGCCUAAAGGAACACCCUGUUCCACAAGCUUGAAGAAAAAUAUUAAACUAAUGAAGAAAAGUAAAGCAGUAAACAAGAAGUUGGAAUUAAUAUCCUUUAAUCCAACACCACAAACCGAGCGAUCUGUGCCGUGAAGACUCUCCCAUUCAACGCAGCCCAAGUCUCCCUUGGAUAAUUAAUUCAGCAUAGAAAAUUCAAUGAUACAGAUAAUCGUCACUGUCCGAUCAAAUGCAUUAAUUAUGACGUGUAAACAAAUACAUUUAUGAACCAAAAUUGAAAAGAUUAAGCUUGAAAAGAAAUCCGUCACCACAUGGAUCUUUUCAAAUUAAGUCUAAACGAUUCUGUUUUUGUUAUUUUAAUUAUUUUUUUAGAUAAUUUUGUAUUUUAAUUUUUUUCCUCACUUAAUUGUAAAAUCUUUUAAUUAGAUCGGUUUUAAACUUUUAUUUCAACAAUUGGAGUCGGUUAGAGUUAGUUAACAAUAAAAUAAAUGGUAGGAGAAUUAUGUAAGAGUCACGCAAGAAAUAACAGAAUCAUUCUCCUCUCAUUUAUUUCUCUGUUUUCCUCCUGCUUCAUUUUGUUAAGCCAAGCUUAACAGAUGAUUAUAUUAUGAAGCUCGUAAUUGAUGGUUUUAUUUAUUUAUUUUUUGUAAGCCAUUGAUAAUGAUUUUUUUUUUCAUUUUUUCCUUUCUUCGAUCAAAUUCGUUUUGAUGAUGUGGAUUAUAGGAAUCUUGACUUCCCAAGUCUAUGAAGAAAAGCAAAGCAGUAAACAAGAAGUUGGAAUUGAUAUCCUUUAAUCCAACACCACAAACCGAGCGAUCUGUGCCGUGGUGCGGGCCCCUGGCUAGCACUGUCCGUGAAGACUCUCUCAUUCAAUGCAGCCCAAGUCUCCCUUGGAUAAUUCGGCAUAGCAAAUUCAAUGAUACAGAUAAUUGUCACCGUCCGAUCAAAUGCAUGAAGAGGACAAAAUUCUAUAUAAGAGACAGCUUUUGCUUGCUUUUGUAUUUUGUCAAGUAGGAGCGUUAAUAUGAAGACGAGGCAAAUGUGGGUGUGGAUGCUGCUCAUGGCACUGGCCUUCCUCAACGACCGGAGCCAUUGUUGUUUGGACGAAGAGAGAAUUAGUCUCUUAGAGAUAAAAGCUUGGUUCUAUCAUGCAGGUGCAGCUGUGUCCUAUCAGCUACAAGGUUGGGAUAAAGAGCAUUUUAAUUGCUGUAACUGGCAUAGGGUUGUGUGCGACAACACCACAAACCGAGUGAUCGAACUAGAUCUUUUUAAUGUAAAUUAUGACGGUCUCAAUGCAGUCGAAGACUUGUAUCUCAAUGCGUCUUUGUUUCUGCCUUUCAAAGAACUGGAGAUUCUCGACUUAAGAGACAACCAAUUAGUUGGUGGCUUAAAGAACCAAGGUUCUAUGCUUUCAAUUUUCUUUUAGAUAACACAUAAAGUUACUUUUAUUUCAAGUAACUUUACAUUGAAUCUUUAUGGAUAUUGGGAUGGUUGAUAUAUAAAUCUGUUAAUUGUCUUUGCUUCUGACAAUCUUCUUUCAGGUUUUCAAGUCCUAGCUUCAGGAUUGAGGAAUUUGAAAGAACUUUAUCUAACUUACAAUAAAUUGAACGACAGCAUUUUAUCAUCUUUCAGUGGUUUUUCAACUCUCAAAUCUCUAGAUCUAUCAGCCAAUAGGUUCACAGGAACAAUUGAUCUCAAAGGUAAAGUUAUAAAUCAUUCCUACCUCGCGUGACAUUCCUUAGUAUGCUUAAUUUAUUCUUUAGUAAACUUGUCUAAUAAUAGAAAAAAAUUACGCACGUAAGAAAUAACAGAAUCAUUCCUUUGUUUUCCUUCUGCUUAACAGAUGAUUAUAUUACAAUACACAAAAUGGAUACUUCCACUUUAUAUGUCAUAUGUUAGAAUUCAUGAAUAUUUGGUUAUUAAAAUAUUGAUAUAAUGUCAAAAAAUUAACACAAAAAUUUAUAUUUCAUUGAAUUUAUAUGGAUAUUGGGAUGGUUGAUAUAUAUAUAUAUAUAUAUAUAUAUAUAUAUAUAUAUAUAUAUAUAUAUAUGCUAAUUUCUUUGCUUCUGACAAUUUUCUUUCAGGUUUUCAAGUGCUAGUCUCAGGGUUGAGGCAAUUAGAGGAACUUGAUUUAAGUUACAAUAAAUUUGACGAUAGCAUUCUAUCAUCUCUUAGUGGAUUUUCAACUCUCAAAUCUUUAAAUCUAUCAGGCAACACGUUCACAGGAUCAACUGGUCUCAAUGGUAAACUUAUAAAUCAUUCCUACUUUGGAUGCCAUUCCCUCGUGAGAUUUAAUAAUUACAUGUGUAUUAACCCUUAAGUAAUUUUUUGGAUGAAGCCUUAAAAAGGCUUUAUAUAAUUAAUUCUUUAACGAGUGAAAUAAUUUGAAACUUACAUAUACAUGCUAUUAAUUUUUGUUCAAUUUCUUAAUUUAUUUUUAAAUAAAUGAAGGUGAAUAUUUAAUUAACAAAAUUUUAAUAUCAUAUUAAAAAUUAUUUUAAUUUUAAAACUUAAGCUAUGUAUAUUAACUCUAACAUUAUAAAUUAUUUAAAUAUUGUAAAUAAUUAUUAUUGAUUGUUCUCUCUAUCACAGGUUUAAGGAGAUUAGAAACCUUGUAUCUGGAUUCAACUGACUUCAAGGAAAGCGUUUUGAUAGAGUCAUUGGGAGCGUUGUCAUCCCUCAAGACCUUAUAUGCCAGUGGUAGUAAGUUUACACACUUUAGGAAAGGUCAGUGACAGUUUUGAUGCCUAAAACAAUGUGAUAUUUAUAAUAUAUUGAUGGAUUUAUUUGAUCUGUUCCACAGGGUUGUGGAAUUCGACUAGCCUUGAAAAAGUGUCCCUCGGUUAUUCUUCUCUCCCAGCAAGCUUUCUUAGGAACAUUGGACCCUUGUCUACUCUUAAAGUCUUGUCCUUGAACGGAGUUGACUUCAAUAGCACCCUACCUGCCCAAGGUAAUUAAAAUCUAAUCUUUAUACAAAUCCAUGGAAGAACAAUUAAAGAACCUCCUUCAAUUCAAAUAACAUUGUUCAUUAAUAUUUGUGUUAUAGAAAAGGAUAAAAUCUAGAGUUUUUCAAUCUUAAAUUAUAGAAAAAACUUUGAGUAAAAAAAGUUAUGAAUAUCAAUAAUCUAGAUAAUUAAUCUCUAAAAAAACUAACAAACAAAGUUGUUUAAAUAAAAUCUAAAACCGACAUAGCUAAUGAAACAAAAAUCAACUAAAACUUUAAAACCUCACUAAGCAAUUACAUAAUUCAUAUAUUCAUAUUCCCUUAACAUGAACAUAUGAAUAUAUUCUCCAGGUUGGUGUGAACUGAAGAAUCUUGAACAUCUAUUUCUCUCGGGAAACAAUCUAAAGGGCGUACUCCCUCCUUGUUUUGGAAAUCUAUCAUUUCUACAAUUCUUGGAUUUAUCUGACAAUCAAUUGGAGGGAAAUAUUGCUUUUAGUCACCUUUCCCAUCUUACGCAGCUCAGAUACCUCAAAGUUUCAAAUAACUACUUUCAAGUUCCAAUAUCAUUUGGUUCAUUUAUGAACCUCUCCAGCCUCAAGUUCAUUGAAUGCGAUAACAAUGAGCUAAUAGCUGCACCUAGUUUUCAGCCUUCAGCUCCCAAGUUCCAGCUUCUUUUCUUUAGUGCUUCAAAUUGUACUCCAAAACCACUCGAGGCUGGAUUUCCAAACUUCCUCCAUAGCCAACAUGAUUUGGAGUUUGUUGAUCUAUCCCACAACAAGUUCGUUGGAGAACCUUUCCCAUAUUGGCUGUUUGAGAAUAAUACAAAGUUAAAUCGACUAUAUUUGAGAGACACCUCAAUUACAGGUCCUUUGCAGCUGCCACAACAUCCAACACCCAACCUUCACACAGUAGAUAUUUCUGGCAACACCAUACAUGGUCAAAUUGCAAGGAACAUAUGUUUGAUUUUUCCACGUUUGAACAACUUCAUGAUGGCUAACAACAGCCUCACAGGUUGUAUUCCUCCUUGUUUUGUUUUGGGAAUAUGAGCUCUCUCAGAUACUUGGAUCUUUCCAACAAUCAUAUGUCUUGUGAACUGCUUGAGCAUAAUUUGCCAACAAAGGGCUCCUUGUGGUUUUUGAAGCUGUCCAAUAACAACUUCAAUGGGCGAUUACCACCAUCUGCGAUCAACAUUACUUACCUAUUUUACCUCUUUCUAGAUGGAAACAAAUU